GAUUUCCUUGUACGAAACCUUUAAAGAACGCGAAAAGCCGCCGGAUAAUUGUAUCGCUAAAAAGAUGGCGAUCAACAGCCUCAUGAAUCGAACGUCUUCAGGAAGCGGAAAAGAUGACAAAAUCACCGUAUGCCAUGGACUAUCAUUUUGCUGAGCUGACGAAAGAUGUUCAUGCGAUUUCCGAGAGGCCACCACUGAUAUUAUUAAAGGAACUUAUGGCGAUACCGGUUUGACCCCCAAUGGUCCGGUGGCAGAUAGUUUACCCCUGCAUGAUUUUUGGUGUAAGCUAGCCAGCUCCAAAUCAACAGUUAUUGUACAUCAUCUCUACGUUCUCUGCAUUUGUUACCUCAAAAUUAUUAGUUAUUUACAAUGAUCUCUUAUAAUGUAACUA